AUAAUACUAUAUUAACAAAUAAAUCUCAGACAGGUUAAUCUACUACAUGGCAAAAUCAUUUUGCAAGAUUACUACUACUUUGAGGUAACUCCAGAAUAACAUUCAGAAGUGGUUUUUUUCUGGUGUAGGAUAUAUUUGAUGGGCUCCAGGGAUAAAAUUUGCUUUCAUUUUCCUCUAGGACUCAGUUUAAAUAUUUGUUCAGGAUGACCAUCCAUACCUGAGACCUUAUGAAUUCUGCAGCUGACUUUCAGGAAAUUUCUUCAGGAAAUUUCUGCAAGAACAAAGGAGCACAGCUAUUCAGUGUGGAUGGUGGACUCCUGUCUGCACUACUCCAUACCACUGGUCAGGGUUCUGAAAAAAUGGGACACAGCCUUGACUGGCUCUCAGCCUGCCAUGCGGGAACAUGGAAGGAAGAGUACAGAUGGGCUAGGAGUGGACUGCUGGGCACUCUGGGAAUCUAUCCCCAACACAAGGUUUCUCUGUAAACCAAGAGGACAUUCUCAGACCAUCAGUCAGACAAUAUGCCAGUUGGAGCUGGCAUCUGAAUGGACUGUGACAGAUGAUUUUCACUUCAAUAAGACCUCACUAAUCUGCUUUUGAAUUUAAAUCAGGAGGACCAUUUUUACAAGCUGUGUUGAGGCUGGGGCUGGAAUAUGGCCAUUAGUGUGAAUCAUCCAAAGGAAGAUAUUUGCAACUCCCUGUUACAAAAUGACCACAAAAUCUUCCUGCAGCCUCAGGGAAAUAUGCUGCUCAGAUGAAAUAAACAUAGCCUUUUUUCUUUGAUUCUGUGUGAU
rnacentral:lncRNA from 1 species